rnacentral:tRNA from 2 species
AGAGCUUUAAGUUAAUAAAAACUAUUAACCUUCAAAGUUAAAAAUAUGGAAAUUCUAUAAGCUUUA